CAGCCGCCGCGGUAACACGAAGGGGGCUAGCGUUGUUCGGAAUUACUGGGCGUAAAGCGCACGUAGGCGGAUACUUAAGUCAGGGGUGAAAUCCCGGGGCUCAACCCCGGAACUGCCUUUGAUACUGGGUAUCUCGAGUCCGGAAGAGGUGAGUGGAAUUCCGAGUGUAGAGGUGAAAUUCGUAGAUAUUCGGAGGAACACCAGUGGCGAAGGCGGCUCACUGGUCCGGUACUGACGCUGAGGUGCGAAAGCGUGGGGAGCAAACAGGAUUAGAUACCCGCGUAGUCCCUGUCUCUUAUAC
rnacentral:rRNA from 1 species